UACGGAGGGUGCGAGCGUUGUCCGGAAUCAUUGGGCGUAAAGGGCGCGUAGGUGGCCCGGUCAGUCUUUGGUGAAAGCGCGGGGCUCAACCCUGCGUCGGCCAGGGAUACUGCCGCGGCUCGAGCACUGUAGAGGCAGGCGGAAUUCCGGGUGUAGCGGUGGAAUGCGUAGAGAUCCGGAAGAACACCGGUGGCGAAGGCGGCCUGCUGGGCAGUGGGGGGCAACCCCCUUGAAAGCUGACACUGAGGCGCGACAGCGUGGGGAGCAAACAGG
rnacentral:rRNA from 1 species